UAUUUUAAAGAGAGUUUGAUCCUGGCUCAGGACGAACGCUGGCGGCGUGCCUAAUACAUGCAAGUCGAACGAACGGAGGAAGAGCUUGCUCUUCCAAUGUUAGUGGCGGACGGGUGAGUAACACGUGGGCAACCUGCCUGUAAGUUGGGGAUAACUCCGGGAAACCGGGGCUAAUACCGAAUGAUAAAGUGUGGCGCAUGCCACGCUUUUGAAAGAUGGUUUCGGCUAUCGCUUACAGAUGGGCCCGCGGUGCAUUAGCUAGUUGGUAGGGUAAUGGCCUACCAAGGCAACGAUGCAUAGCCGACCUGAGAGGGUGAUCGGCCACACUGGGACUGAGACACGGCCCAGACUCCUACGGGAGGCAGCAGUAGGGAAUCUUCCGCAAUGGACGAAAGUCUGACGGAGCAACGCCGCGUGUAUGAAGAAGGUUUUCGGAUCGUAAAGUACUGUUGUUAGAGAAGAACAAGGAUAAGAGUAACUGCUUGUCCCUUGACGGUAUCUAACCAGAAAGCCACGGCUAACUACGUGCCAGCAGCCGCGGUAAUACGUAGGUGGCAAGCGUUGUCCGGAUUUAUUGGGCGUAAAGCGCGCGCAGGCGGUCUUUUAAGUCUGAUGUGAAAGCCCCCGGCUUAACCGGGGAGGGUCAUUGGAAACUGGAAGACUGGAGUGCAGAAGAGGAGAGUGGAAUUCCACGUGUAGCGGUGAAAUGCGUAGAUAUGUGGAGGAACACCAGUGGCGAAGGCGACUCUCUGGUCUGUAACUGACGCUGAGGCGCGAAAGCGUGGGGAGCAAACAGGAUUAGAUACCCUGGUAGUCCACGCCGUAAACGAUGAGUGCUAAGUGUUGGGGGGUUUCCGCCCCUUAGUGCUGCAGCUAACGCAUUAAGCACUCCGCCUGGGGAGUACGACCGCAAGGUUGAAACUCAAAGGAAUUGACGGGGGCCCGCACAAAGCGUGGGAGCAUGUGUUUAAUUCGAAAGCACGCGGAAGAACCCUUACCAGGUCUUGACAUCCUUUGACCCACUCUGAGACAGAGCUUUCCUUCGGGGACAAAGUGACAGGUGGGUGGCAUGGUUUGUCGUCAGCUCGUGGUCGUGAGGAUGUUGGGUUAAGUCCCCGCAACGAGCGCAACCCUUGAUUUUUAGUUUGCCAGCAUUUAGUUGGGCACUCUAAAGUGACCUGCCGGUGCAAGCCGGAGGAAGGUGGGGAUGACGUCAAAUCAUCAAUGCACCCCUUAAUGACCUGGGCUAACACACGCUGCUACAAUGGGAUAGUACAAAAAGGGUCGCGAAGCCGCGAGGUGGAGCUAAUCCCAUAAAACUAUUCUCAGUUCGGAUUGUAGGCUCAACUCGCCUACCAUGAAGCCGGAAUCGCUAGUAUCGUGGAUCAGCAUGCCACGGUUGAAUACGUUGCCCGGGCCCUUGUACACACCGCCCGUCACACCACGGAGGAGUUGUAACAACCCGAAGUCGUAGGGGUAACCUUUAUGGAGCCAGCCGCCCGAAGGUGGGACAGAUAAUUGGGGUGAAGUCGGUAAAAAGGGUAGCAGUAUGCGGAAGGUGAAGGGCGCUGGGAUCACCUCCUUUCCUAAGGAA
rnacentral:rRNA from 1 species